GACGAACGCUGGCGGCGUGCUUAACACAUGCAAGUCGAACGGUAAGGCCCUUCGGGGUACACGAGUGGCGAACGGGUGAGUAACACGUGGGUGAUCUGCCCUGCACUUCGGGAUAAGCCUGGGAAACUGGGUCUAAUACCGGAUAGGACCCUGGGAUGCAUGUCCUGGGGUGGAAAGCUUUUGCGGUGGGGGAUGGGCCCGCGGCCUAUCAGCUUGUUGGUGGGGUGAUGGCCGACCAAGGCGACGACGGGUAGCCGGCCUAAGAGGGUGACCGGCCACACGGGGACUGGGAUACUGCCCAGACUCCUACGGGAGGCAGCAGUGGGGAAUAUUGCACAAUGGGCGCAAGCCUGAUGCAGCAACGCCGCGUGAGGGAUGACGGCCUUCGGGUUGUAAACCUCUUUCAGCACCGACGAAGCGCAAGUGACGGUAGGUGCAGAAGAAGGACCGGCCAACUACGUGCCAGCAGCCGCGGUAA
rnacentral:rRNA from 1 species